rnacentral:rRNA from 1 species
GACGAAGGGGGCUAGCGUUGUUCGGAAUUACUGGGCGUAAAGCGCGUGUAGGCGGCCCUGCAAGUCGGGUGUGAAAUCCCACGGCUCAACCGUGGAAGUGCACUCGAAACUGCAGGGCUAGAGUCCUGGAGAGGAAGGUGGAAUGCUUGGUGUAGAGGUGAAAUUCGUAGAUAUCAAGCGGAACACCGGUGGCGAAGGCGGCCUUCUGGACAGUGACUGACGCUGAGACGCGAAAGCGUGGGGAGCAAACAGG